rnacentral:rRNA from 1 species
UACAGGGGGUGCAAACGUUGCUCGGAAUCAUUGGGCGUAAAGCGCACGUAGGCGGUCUGUUAUGUCGGAUGUGAAAGCCCUUGGCUCAACUGAGGAAGUGCAUCCGAAACUGGCAGGCUGGAGUACUAAAGAGGGUCGCGGAAUUCCCGGUGUAGAGGUGAAAUUCGUAGAUAUCGGGAGGAACACCGGUGGCGAAGGCGGCAUCCUGGACCAAUAUUGACGCUGAGGAGCGAAAGCCAGGGGAGCAAACGGG